UACGUAGGGUGCGAGCGUUAAUCGAAAUUACUGGGCGUAAAGCGUGCGCAGGCGGCUUUGCAAGACAGAUGUGAAAUCCCCGGGCUCAACCUGGGAACUGCAUUUGUGACUGCAAGGCUAGAGUACGGCAGAGGGGGAUGGAAUUCCGCGUGUAGCAGUGAAAUGCGUAGAUAUGCGGAGGAACACCAAUGGCGAAGGCAAUCCCCUGGGCCUGUACUGACGCUCAUGCACGAAAGCGUGGGGAGCAAACAGG
rnacentral:rRNA from 1 species